CCUACGGGAGGCAGCAGUGGGGAAUAUUGGACAAUGGGGGGAACCCUGAUCCAGCGACGCCGCGUGAGUGAAGAAGUAUUUCGGUAUGUAAAGCUCUAUCAGCAGGGAAGAAAAUGACGGUACCUGACUAAGAAGCCCCGGCUAACUACGUGCCAGCAGCCGCGGUAAUACGUAGGGGGCAAGCGUUAUCCGGAUUUACUGGGUGUAAAGGGAGCGUAGACGGCAGCACAAGUCUGAUGUGAAAUGCCGGGGCUUAACCCCGGGACUGCCUUGGAAACUGUUGAACUAGAGUGCAGGAGAGGUAAGUGGAAUUCCUAGUGUAGCGGUGAAAUGCGUAGAUAUUAGGAGGAACACCAGUGGCGAAGGCGGCUUACUGGACUGUAACUGACGUUGAGGCUCGAAAGCGUGGGGAGCAAACAGGAUUAGAUACCCUGGUAGUC
rnacentral:rRNA from 1 species